UACGGAGGGUGCAAGCGUUGUUCGGAAUCACUGGGCGUAAAGGGCGUGUAGGUGGCUAAGUAAGUCAGGUGUGAAAUCCUUCCGCUUAACGGGAGAAGUGCACUUGAAACUGCUUAGCUAGAGUACGGGAGAGGAAGGUGGAAUUCCUGGUGUAGAGGUGAAAUUCAUAGAUAUCGGGAAGAACACCGGUGGCGAAGGCGGCCUUCUGGCCCGAUACUGACGCUGAGACGCGAAAGCGUGGGGAGCAAACAGG
rnacentral:rRNA from 1 species